UACGGGGGGGGCAAGCGUUGUUCGGAAUUACUGGGCGUAAAGGGCUCGUAGGUGGCCAACUAAGUCAGACGUGAAAUCCCUCGGCUUAACCGGGGAACUGCGUCUGAUACUGGAUGGCUUGAGUUUGGGAGAGGGAUGCGGAAUUCCAGGUGUAGCGGUGAAAUGCGUAGAUAUCGCUUGGAACGCCAAUGGUGAAAACAGGUUGCUGGGGGUGUGCUGACGCUGAGACACGAAAGCCAGGGGAGCGAACGGG
rnacentral:rRNA from 1 species